CCACCUCCAACACUGGGGACUUCAAUUCGACGUGAAGUUUGGGCAGGACACAGGUCUAAACCAUACCACAUACCUUGACUGGGCUUUCUUGAUUUUAAAUGUGAUCUCCUGAGCGUGAGUGCAAGCUCUUGCGGAAUGUGUGGUUUGCCCCACCGAGUGAGUUGCUUGAGAACAGGAACUGGCUCUUACUGCUCUCCAGCCCCAAGCUCAUUACCUGGCACCUGCUAGGCCCCUUUAAAUUGUUAUUCAAUGAAGUAUUUGAGAAAUUAGAUGAGGAGAAAACCAAGACAACUCAGGCUCUGCACAAGAUCACAUAGUCUGCAUAGAGUCCAAUACUACUAACGUCCUGGGUACACAGAUGAAUGCGGGAUCAGAGCCGAGUACAGCGUGUCAGUCCUUAUGUGCACAUCCACAAUUCUACGGGAAGCUAAAGCCCACAAUAGUUGUAUGAGAUAUCACCCCUUCCUCCAAAUCCCAGGUUCUCAUCAGAGCAGGUGCUGCCUGUUGAAGGUGAAGGAGAUCACUGCCGGCACUGCUGCCGAUGUUCCAGUUCUCCCCCAUCCUGUGUGUGGGGUGGGGUGAGCAGGGCUGGCUUUGCCCUUUGGCCUUCUUUCAGCCUGGUUUGCUGGUGCAGCAGUUUGCCUCCCUUCUGGGUUCAGUGUGAAGCAGUUCAUCCUUCCCAGCUGAAGUUCAAAAGGUUAAAAGUCUUUCGAGGACCAAAUGUCUUCCAAGGGAACAGAAAAGAAGGCUGUCCUGAGGUUGUCAGUCUGGCCUGACUCAGCACAGCUUGAGCCAGGAUAUUUGGGGUGGUUCUCUUCAAUUAGCUGGAUUCUGUUUUCAUUUCGACGUUAGGAGCGGAAGUUGCUGGGACAGAUUCUGGAAAUGGAGCCAGGGCUAUUUCUGUAUAAGGAGCCAGGAGCAUGGAAAGUUUAAGCAAGUUGCGCAAGGUCAUGGAGCUGAUGAGAGAGAGCUGGGAUUUGAAUUAAGGCAUGGUCUGUUUCCAUACUCCCUGCUCUCUAUCACUAAUUCCCCAUAACUCUAGAAAAUGAAACAGCUACAGAAGAAACAGAUGUCUGAGCUUGAGGACACCAAUUUCACAUUAUAGGAUCAGUGAAUUUGGAGAUAGGGAGCAGCUGGCUGAGGGAGGAGCGCCCCAGCAUCUGUAUUGAUGGAGAAGAAACCCGGCUGGGUCCAUGGGGACCCACAGCUGCCACCAUCAAAGCCUCAUCCAGCAUAGGCCGGAGCAAGGAAUACCUUUACAGGUAUAAAGUGCUGGAGUCGGCGUUAUGAUCACCGUGUCACUGAUGGGAAACGGAGCCUGCGUGGAGUGAAAUAACUUGCUCAUAGUGACACAGCACUGGGCCAGGAACCCUGCUGUCCUGCCUGGAGUCCAUGUCCCAUGCCCUGGAUCAGUGUGGACUGUAAAAGUGGUAUUUAUUAAUUUAUAUUUGAAUCAUGGCAUUGAAAAAGAAAACCGGCUGAUCCAGCAUUUUCCAAAAUGUAUCCUAAGACUCUAGGUCCUCAA
rnacentral:lncRNA from 1 species